GAUGGAAUAAAACCGUUUGUCAACAGACAAACGGUCUCUAGAAGUGAACGCCUGGAAAAAAGGCUGUUCGUCCUUAAAUAAGUGAGUGUGAAGUGAGAAGUGGAUUUCCGAACGGCCGUGAGGAUUCCCGACCAGCGUCUGCGGAAGGGAGACGGCCCAGAUCGCGUUUGGUGUACCACUAUUGGGACCAGCCGGAUUGCCCACGGUUCAGCCAUCUUCAAGCCAUCGCCAUCCGGAACCAACCGUGAGCAGAGCAACCCUUUUGCUGGUGUUGAACGGGCACGCCACCGACCAGCUUGAGAGUUUGUGUGCCGGUGUUAAAGACCUUCUGGAUUUGAAGAACGGCCGUCAGAAUCUUCCCCUCCGCUGUCCAGAAGGUUGGCAGUUCAGCAAACGCAGCAAUGGUCACCUCCACCGUAACCAAGCUGAAGUGUUAAAAGGUGUGUAAACCCGUAUACAAAUUCCCCUCCUGUUUAAAACAAUCCCAAAAUGCAUGAAAUUAUAACUUGAACUUUGUAAAUAUGAA